UCUAGUCCAUAUUCAUUGGUGGGGAGACUGAGAUCAUCUAGGGGAGUAAGGAUCCUUCCUCGGCUGUGCAAAAGAGCGCUGGGCGAAUCGAUGCGCUGAGAGUUUGAUUGUGUAUUCCUGACUUGCAAUAAGCCGAUCGUUAGGAUGAAAACACACACGCACACACAGUGUUUUGCAGUCCUCGGGAAAUGUGCAGCAGAAAAGCGGAAACCCCCAAUUAAAAAAAAAUGCUCUUGCCUAACAGCAGAAAGGGUCUGCUUUAUUUCCUUACUUGUCAGUUGUCGGCAGCAAAGCUGAGGUCAAAGAAUCUUAGGUAUGGAAGAGAACUCAUGGACCUCUCCCCAGCAGAGGCAAGUAUCCUACACAAAGCUAAUCCAACUAGAAGCUUGUCAGACUUAAUCACUGGAUGAUUCAUGCAAGCCUGUUUCACCAUUUGAUGAUGGCAGCAUCAAGAGAGGACUUGCAUAUGUACACAUGCUAUCAGAGACAUAACCCACAGAUUGAAUGUUCAUGUUAUCUCACCUCACCUCAAAUGCCAUGCUUUUCAGUGGGGUCAGUUCACACAUACAGUUGUCAGCCAUUAACUCUGCAGUAAGCAAAUGCAGAGAAAUGAGAGUGCCUACAUUUAAAUUCUGAGAGGAGAAUAUGAUCCAAAUAUUGGAUCUGAAAUAGAGAUGUGCAAAAAAGAGAGUGUUAAUUCAAAGAAAAUGUUUGUUGUCUUCAAAGAAAGAAACCCCUGCUAACUUGGCAAAGAGGCACCUUUUAAUGUGGUGAUUCUCUUUAUUUAGCAGGGGGAGAGUAACUGGCCCUAUCCACCCCCAGCACAGUACCUCCAGUGACCGUUGCUGGUGUCUAUCUUGCAUUUCUUUUAGAUUGUGAGUCCUUUGGGGACAGGGAUCCAUCUUAUUUAUUUAUUAUUUCUCUGUGUAAACUGCCCUGAGCCAUUUUUGGAAGGGCGGCAUAGAAAUCGAAUAAAUAAUAAAUAAAUAAAUAAAUAAAUAAAUUAAAUAAAUAAUUUUUAAAAAGUGAGAGAAUCCCAUGUAUGGCUAUUAAUUGUGCAAACCAUUUUAUGUAACAUUCUGCAGAUAUAGUGGUCCUCAGUCUAAUUCCCCCCGCCCCCCUCAACAUUCAAAGCAAUUCAAGGCACUUUUUUCUUACUAUUUUUUUUUAAUCUAAAAAAAUUCAAUGAAAAUAAGCACUUGUCAAAAAUGAUGAUCUCUACUGGAAAAUAAAU